UUUUAUGGAGAGUUUGAUCCUGGCUCAGAGUGAACGCUGGCGGCGUGCCUAAUACAUGCAAGUCGAACGAUGAAGCUUCUAGCUUGCUAGAAGUGGAUUAGUGGCGCACGGGUGAGUAACGCAUAGGUCAUGUGCCUCUUAGUUUGGGAUAGCCAUUGGAAACGAUGAUUAAUACCAGAUACUCCCUACGGGGGAAAGAUUUAUCGCUAAGAGAUCAGCCUAUGUCCUAUCAGCUUGUUGGUAAGGUAAUGGCUUACCAAGGCUAUGACGGGUAUCCGGCCUGAGAGGGUGAACGGACACACUGGAACUGAGACACGGUCCAGACUCCUACGGGAGGCAGCAGUAGGGAAUAUUGCUCAAUGGGGGAAACCCUGAAGCAGCAACGCCGCGUGGAGGAUGAAGGUUUUAGGAUUGUAAACUCCUUUUGUUAGAGAAGAUAAUGACGGUAUCUAACGAAUAAGCACCGGCUAACUCCGUGCCAGCAGCCGCGGUAAUACGGAGGGUGCAAGCGUUACUCGGAAUCACUGGGCGUAAAGAGCGCGUAGGCGGGAUAGUCAGUCAGGUGUGAAAUCCUAUGGCUUAACCAUAGAACUGCAUUUGAAACUACUAUUCUAGAGUGUGGGAGAGGUAGGUGGAAUUCUUGGUGUAGGGGUAAAAUCCGUAGAGAUCAAGAGGAAUACUCAUUGCGAAGGCGACCUGCUAGAACAUUACUGACGCUGAUUGUGCGAAAGCGUGGGGAGCAAACAGGAUUAGAUACCCUGGUAGUCCACGCCCUAAACGAUGGAUGCUAGUUGUUGGAGGGCUUAGUCUCUCCAGUAAUGCAGCUAACGCAUUAAGCAUCCCGCCUGGGGAGUACGGUCGCAAGAUUAAAACUCAAAGGAAUAGACGGGGACCCGCACAAGCGGUGGAGCAUGUGGUUUAAUUCGAAGAUACACGAAGAACCUUACCUAGGCUUGACAUUGAGAGAAUCCGCUAGAAAUAGUGGAGUGUCUAGCUUGCUAGACCUUGAAAACAGGUGCUGCACGGCUGUCGUCAGCUCGUGUCGUGAGAUGUUGGGUUAAGUCCCGCAACGAGCGCAACCCCCUUUCUUAGUUGCUAACAGGUUAUGCUGAGAACUCUAAGGAUACUGCCUCCGUAAGGAGGAGGAAGGUGGGGACGACGUCAAGUCAUCAUGGCCCUUACGCCUAGGGCUACACACGUGCUACAAUGGGGUGCACAAAGAGAAGCAAUACUGCGAAGUGGAGCCAAUCUUCAAAACGCCUCUCAGUUCGGAUUGUAGGCUGCAACUCGCCUGCAUGAAGCUGGAAUCGCUAGUAAUCGCAAAUCAGCCAUGUUGCGGUGAAUACGUUCCCGGGUCUUGUACUCACCGCCCGUCACACCAUGGGAGUUGUGUUUGCCUUAAGUCAGGAUGCUAAAUUGGCUACUGCCCACGGCACACACAGCGACUGGGGUGAAGUCGUAACAAGGUAACCGUAGGUGAACCUGCGGUUGGAUCACCUCCUUUCUAGA
rnacentral:rRNA from 1 species